GCUCCUUUGACGUUAGCGGCGGACGGGUGAGUAACACGUGGGUAACCUACCUAUAAGACUGGGAUAACUUCGGGAAACCGGAGCUAAUACCGGAUAAUAUUUCGAACCGCAUGGUUCGAUAGUGAAAGAUGGUUUUGCUAUCACUUAUAGAUGGACCCGCGCCGUAUUAGCUAGUUGGUAAGGUAACGGCUUACCAAGGCGACGAUACGUAGCCGACCUGAGAGGGUGAUCGGCCACACUGGAACUGAGACACGGUCCAGACUCCUACGGGAGGCAGCAGUAGGGAAUCUUCCGCAAUGGGCGAAAGCCUGACGGAGCAACGCCGCGUGAGUGAUGAAGGUCUUCGGAUCGUAAAACUCUGUUAUUAGGGAAGAACAUACGUGUAAGUAACUAUGCACGUCUUGACGGUACCUAAUCAGAAAGCCACGGCUAACUACGUGCCAGCAGCCGCGGUAAUACGUAGGUGGCAAGCGUUAUCCGGAAUUAUUGGGCGUAAAGCG
rnacentral:rRNA from 1 species